GACGCUGGCGGUGCGCCUUAUGCAUGCAAGUCGAGCGAAGCUUUUCAGUAGUUUACUACAGAAAAUGACUGAGCGGCGAACGGGUGAGUAACGCGUGAGCAAUCUACCUUAGUUACUGGGAUAGCCCGAGGAAACUCGGAUUAAUACCGGAUAAUCUUAUUACAUCACAUGAUAUUUUAAGUAAAGGUCAGCCGAACUAAGAUGAGCUCGCGUUCUAUCAGCUUGUUGGUGGGGUAAAAGCCUACCAAGGCUACGACGGAUAGCUGGUCUGAGAGGACGAUCAGCCACACUGGGACUGAGACACGGCCCAGACUCCUACGGGAGGCUGCAGCAGGGAAUAUUGCGCAAUGAGCGAAAGCUUGACGCAGCGACACCGCGUGUGGGAUGACGGUUCUAGGAUUGUAAACCACUUUCAGGAGGGAAGAAAAUGACGGUACCUCCACAAGAAGCCCCGGCCAACUACGUGCCAGCAGCCGCGGUAAUACGUAGGGGGCGAGCGUUGUCCGGAUUUAUUGGGCGUAAAGAGCUCGUAGGCGGUUCAACAAGUCGGUCGUGAAAGUUCAGGGCUUAACCCUGAAAUGUCGAUCGAUACUGUUGUGACUAGGAUAUGGUAGAGGUGAGUGGAAUUCCGAGUGUAGCGGUGAAAUGCGUAGAUAUUCGGAGGAACACCAAUAGCGAAGGCAGCUCACUGGACCACUAUCGACGCUGAGGAGCGAAAGCUAGGGGAGCAAACAGGAUUAGAUACCCUGGUAGUCCUAGCUGUAAACGAUGGAUACUAGAUGUAGGAAUUGGAUUGACGAUUUCUGUAUCGUAGCUAACGCGUUAAGUAUCCCGCCUGGGGAGUACGGU
rnacentral:rRNA from 1 species